UUCCCGUUCGAUCACCGAAGUUAAGCAACGUCGAGCUUGGUCAGUACCUAGAUAGAUGACCGUUUGUGAAUACCAGGUGCUGUAA